GGAGGCAACCUAGAUCAGUGGUUCUCAGGCUUUGUAGAUUACUAUAACCCUUUCACGCAUCUGAUUGGUCUUGCAUACCCCAACUUUCACCUCACUUAAAAACUACUUGCUUACAAAAUCAGACAUAAAAAACACAAAAGUGUCACAGCACAUUAUUACUGAAAAAUUGCUUACUUCCUCAUUUUUACCAU